GGGAAAUACCGGUGCAAGCUAAGGAGCAGUGUGAGAGGCAAAUCCCUCAUAUAAUGCGAGAGAGUGAAGCGUAGCGAACAUAAGGGUAGCGAAGUGUGUGGAGAGGCUGUCAGGAAAAGCCGCUAUUGUGUAUCAUGAACCCGUACCGUAACCCGACACAGGUGGAUGAGGAGAGAAUCCUAAGGCCGACGGAAGAAGCAUUGUUAAGGAAUUCGGCAAAAUGACCCCGUAACUUCGGGAGAAGGGGUGCCUGCGCAAGCAGGUCGCAGAGAAUUGGCCCAAGCAACUGUUUAGCAAAAACACAGGUUUAUGCGAAACCGAAAGGUGAAGUAUAUGAGCUGACGCCUGCCCGGUGCUGGAAGGUUAAGGGGAGUGCUUAGACUUUAGUCGAAGGUGCGAACUUAAGCCCCAGUAAACGGCGGCCGUAACAAUAACGGUCCUAAGGUAGCGAAAUUUGUCGGGUAAGUUCCGACCCGCACGAAAGGCGUAAUGAUUUGGGCGCUGUCUCGACAAUGCAUCCGGUGAAAUUGAAGUACCAGUGAAGAUGCUGGUUACCCGCGCCAGGACGGAAAGACCCCAUGGAGCUUUACUCUAGUUUGAUGCUGGGAUUCGAUACUGCAUGUACAGGGUAGGCGGGAGACUGAGAAGUAGUGACGUCAGUUGCUACAGAGUCGCUGUUGGGAUACCGCCCCUGCAGUAUUGGGUUUCUAACCUGCGGCCGUAAGCCGGUCGGGGGACAACGUCAGGCGGGGAGUUUGACUGGGGCGGUCGCCUCCGAAAGGGUAUCGGAGGCGCUCAAAGGUUCCCUCAGAAUGGUCGGAAACCAUUCGAAGAGUGCAAAGGCAGAAGGGAGCUUGACUGCGAGACCGACGGGUCGAGCAGGUACGAAAGUAGGACUUAGUGAUCCGGUGGUAUGAAAGUGGGAUUGCCAUCGCUCAACGGAUAAAAGCUACCCUGGGAUAACAGGCUUAUCACUCCCAAGAGUUCACAUCGACGGAGUGGUUUGGCACCUCGAUGUCGGCUCAUCGCAUCCUGGGGCUGUAGCAGGUCCCAAGGGUUGGGCUGUUCGCCCAUUAAAGCGGUACGCGAGCUGGGUUCAGAACGUCGUGAGACAGUUCGGUCCCUAUCCGGCGCGGGCGUAGGAUAUCUGAAAGGAGCUGGCCUUAGUACGAGAGGACCGGGCUGGACGAACCGCUGGUUCACCUGUUGUCAUACCAAUGGCAUAGCAGGGUAGCCAAGUUUGGAAGGGAUAAACGCUGAAGGCAUCUAAGCGUGAAGCCCCCCUUAAGAUAAGAUAUCCCUGGAGUAAUCCAGUAAGACCCCUUGAAGACGACGAGGUAGAUAGGGCAGAGGUGGAAGUGUGGUAACACAUGCAGCUGACUGUCACUAAUAGGUCGAGGGCUUGACC
rnacentral:rRNA from 1 species